UGGAUUCAUGGGGCUGGCACUGUCCCCUUUCUGUGCUGGUGGCAGACAUGCUGCCUGUGGUUGCCCGCAUGAUCCGCCCACUGCUCUGCCAGCCACUUCUGUGCUCUGCACCCCAGUGCCCUCGCCGUGAACUUGGAGCUGGGGGUACUCCGGGAGAGCAGGCUGCGCUGCGCAGGCACCGAGCCCGCAGCGGCCCCGCACGACGGCAGCGCUCCCUCUUUUAAGCGAUCUCCUCUGCGUGACCGACGCUUGCUGCUCCAGUAGCUCCAGGUUUGCACGGCCUGGAAUGGGGCUAGCCGCUGCUACCCUCCUUCCAGAAGCCUCUGGGUGCAGCUGAGCCGUUUCUCCGGUGGGUCUUGGGUGGGUGGGAGCCUACAGCAGUAAGCGAUUUGCAUACAACACGCCGAGGCUUGCUGCCAGACUACGUGUCCCAGCGUGCUCCGCUGCCUGCUCUGCUGCCUGCUCUGCUGGGUGCUACAGAGGCUUCCUCGGUCUGGGUGAGGUGGGCUCUGGCAAUGGAGGACAGUGACAGGAGGAUGAGGACAAGAGGGUGAGACCAUGUUUUGGCUUUGCUGUUAGACACAGAUUGGCCAGAGCUAUUGCAGCCCACAGGAGGAGGUGAAAAGACAGCUGGACUACAUGUCCAGGAGUGUCUGCAUGUGCUUUGUCACUGUGUCUCUAACCACCAUGUGGUCCCAGCCCCCUGCAAAGGUAAAUGGGAAUUUUGGGGCCUGCUUUGAGUCAAUUUGUGCCACCCCAUGCUCCAUAUGUGGAGCGGCCUUCUCUUGGGUCCUCAUGGAGCCACCAGCGUGUCAGAAUGGCCAGAGCUGGAGCUGUGCUCUCUCUUUCUGUUAGGUAGUCCUACAAACAUGGUCCUCUUCAAAUCAGUCAUCUGCACUGCUGAUGCCUCUGUGCUCUUCCCUCCUCUGGCACAAUGCCCUACAGUAUGGCGCGGAAGCCUCGGUGCAUGCCCCAGCUCCUCUCCCAGUCUGCACAGUUUGCACAUGCUAACCAGAUGCUGUCGCUGUGAUGCCACCAUCCCAUCUUCUCUCCCUCUUUUUUUGCCCCUUCCACUCUAGAAACAUUGGCAUUGGGUCAGCAGCUGUUUUCUGCCCUCCUGCAGCACUUGCUGGGUGGGUGGCAUCUGCUCACCCGGGGGUGGGGGAGAGGAGUGUGGCAGGGUGAGGCGAGAGCAGGAGAUCAGGGUGAGGGAUAAAGCCAGGCCUAUUUUUAUACUGCAAAGUAAUUACCAGAGCUUUCCAAUGCUUAAUCUGCUGAGAGCACCCCAGUGCGAUUGGAUCCCUCCCCGAGCCUGGCAACAAUUCUCCCAUCACACGUCUCCUGCGUCAAAGCCCCGUAAACUCCCACACUUGGGCUCACAUGUGCUGCAGAGCUGCUGUCUGUCUGUCCCCCACCCCUAGCAGCCUCUGGCCUAGGAACGAAUAUGGGGACCCCAUCUGGGACCCUGGUUCGUGGCCAGGAAGGGAGAUCUUACCACUGACCUCAGCAGGGCAGGAUGGAGCCUUGCAGCCUUGGCCUCUUGUUCAGCCUGCUGUGGACAUCUCUUUCCCUGCAUCUUAGAUGGAACUGCUGGGUAGAUUUGGGUCUCAGCCGUUUGAACACACUGAAUACAUGCUUUCCCCUAUAGCUGCCUCCCAGGGAUUUUUGGCCAGGGUUAGCUGCUCACAUAGCACCCUCCAGCACUCAUCCGGCUUGGUUCCCGUCAGCACAGGCAGGGUCCAGGGAGCCCCUCUCCUGGCGGUGCACAAGAUGUCUAGCCAGCAGUGCCAAGUCUCAUUUGGCACCUUUCCCAGCCUCUCCCCGUCCUGUCGCCAUGCCAGGGGUUUGCUGAAGAACCUGUUCCAUAGCUCCCGCCAUGGAGAAGGAAAUGACAGGCGGUUUGCGGCAACAUCUUUCAUCCUGGGGCUGGGAGACUGCUUUGCACACACCGUGUGCAGACAGUUCUGGGGUGGAGCACAGGAGCUGCUCAGCCUGGGGAUGGAGGUGAGGGCUUGGGUUGGCUCUCAUCUUCCUUUACCCAUCCUGUUUUCAGUGCCCACCGCUCCCCAGUGCUUCACGGAAAGCUAGACUGGCGUGUUCAGCCCUGCUCCGUGGUGGGGCUGUGUGUGCUUUCUGUACCACAGUUCCUACACUUGGGACCCUGUAGAGUUCACAACACUCUUGCUGAGUGUUUGGAAGUAUCCCUUGAUCCAGGCUAUCUCGGUGCAAGGCAGCAGACACAAAGUAAACUUUGUAGUGUACCGGAUGCAGUGCUGCUUUUCCACAGCAGAACCCAGGAUUGUGAAGGGUCAUCUGCCUUUGGGUUAUCCCCAGGUGACCCCACCAAUGUCCCUUCCCCCUGCCUGGGAGGGACCUGGCUUUGAAGCCACCCUGCCUGCUGCCUUGCCUAAGCCAAUGGCCAUAAAAGGCCCUGAAAUGGAGGAGCCAGACAAGGAGGCCAGGCUGCUGCUGGAGCCCAAGAGGGAUCAUCCUGUCUGCCCACGCAGGCUGAGCUUGCCAGGAUGUGGGAGUGGGAGUCUGGUUGGGGGAAAGCAGCCCAGCAGCCUGGAGCAGGGUCAGGAGUCUGGGGCACGCUGUGCUCCCCUCCAUCUCCCUUUACUUCCCAGAGGACACAUUUGGGCUGUGCCUCAAGGUAGUGGAGACCUACAUCACCUCCCGUGAGGGGCUCGGUGUGGGGGUAGAGCUGUCUUUUCAUUGGGCACCUGAGCCGUGGGGCUGUGUGGGCCAAGGGGCAUGUAGAGGGCUCUCCUGCUGGCCCCCCGCUUCCUCUCCCCAGACAAUGGCUGCCCUUUGUUGGGGUUUUACACACCCGGCCCCCUUCCCUGUGGCCCAGCUGGUGACAUUUUACCACCUCCAUAUUCACAUGGGGAUUCAAAGGGCACAGAUGCAGCGUGAAACCACAAAGUGCCGCCUCCCCCCACUCCUGUUUUCCCUCUACAGCAUCCCCAGGGAGGCAGGGCUAGGAUGCAUGGAUGGGAUGCACACAGCAGGAACCUCCCUCCGUGGCUAUUUAAGAGGCAGUCCUUGAAGGGAGGGGGCCCUUGGGGAGCCCCUCUCCGGGGCUCCCUCCAUCCUCCUGCCCUUCCCUUGCUAACAGCCCUCCAUUAUUUUGUCAGUCUUUUGAGAUUCUUGCCUUCCAUCCGUGGCUGAAAGGGGCUUGGCACAUCAGACACCCACCCACUCGUGGGAGAUGAAGGGAGGCAGCAUCCAAGUUAGUGAUGUUUGACCUUUUGGAAAUGGACCCAUGGAGAUGGAGCUGUGUGGGUGGUACCCACCUCUGCCCUGCUGGCUCCUGGCUGCCAGAGCAAUGCCAAGUAAGCUGGCAUUGCCAGCCCUGGCAUCACCCUGGGCUCAUGGGUGUAACAGCUCUGUGGGUGUAGUUGAUCUGUUGGAUGCACAAUGGCCCCUGUCCCUUUGGAGAAGUCCUAGUACACAGGCAUCCAACUCUUGCCCCUUCACUCCCACUCCCAGACCUCCAGGGGCUUUCCCUCGAGGACCUGGGCAAGUAGCCCAGUUCCUCCCAACUGGUCACUGCCUCCGCAGGGGCCUUGGGAAAACGGCCUGUAAACAGGCAGACGGAGGGCGUGAGUCACAGCCACCGAGAGGGAAAGAAAUGCACGAGGGGAAUUUGCAGCAUGCAUUGGGUCAUGGGGAUGAAUCCAGCUUCUCCCAGCAACGAGCCCUCGCCAGCGCGGCGUCCCCUGGUGCAUCAGCCUCUGUCCCCUUCCGCAUCAGGGCAGGCGCAGCCAUGUCAGGGUUCGUGCCCCCUGCCCAGGCAGGGCCAGGGCGCGCCUGAGCAGUGCUGGGGGCGUUAGGGGUGGGGAAUGCACUGCAUCUUUUUAUACCCCUAAAUCCCCCGUGGGCUCAUUUUGUUAUCCCACCCCCUCCGCGGUUGGCUGCGGCAGGGCUCCGCGGCUGACGUCACUAAUAUAUGCUGAUUUAUGCGCGGGGGGGGACACCUCACCGCUGCCCCGGUCCCUCUGCCCCGCCCCCUCCCCCCCUCCCUCGGUCCUGGAGUCCCCCCGCAAACGGCCCCCGCCUCUGUCCCUCCCUGCCUGCCCUGCGGGUUGCCGUGGGAACCGGCCCGGUCUUCUGAUGUCACCGAGACGGUUGCUACGCGACCGGUCCGUUCGCCCGUCCCCGCGUGAGGUCACUGUCGCCAUGGCGACGGGCCGGUGCGGCGAGAAGCGGAGGGGGGGGAUGCGGGGCCUCCCCCGGGGCCGGGCGGGGCGGACUGCGGCGGGAGGGCGGCCCCGCGAUGGGGGACAGACUCGGCGCGGGGAGAGGGGUGUCGUCCCCGGGAAACAGCGAGAGGUUUGCAUUCAAAAGAGUGGAAAACGGAAAAUAAAGCUUGUUUUGGCUCA